AUGCCCGCUACAGCAGCAUGUAUACUAAAAUUGGAACAAUACAGAGAUUAGCAUGGCCCCUGCACAAGGAUGACAUGCAAAUUCAUGAAGCGUUCCAUAUAUUU